rnacentral:lncRNA from 1 species
AGAAUCCACCGGGGUGCAGCGAGGCUGUGGAAAGUCCCACCCAGAACGUGAGGUGAAGAAGGCUUGGGCUGCGCUGGUUCUGCUCUGUCCGGGUCGGAGAUGAACUGACCCGGGAGAGCAGCGGAGGGAUGUUUCUUUUGGCCAACAGUGGGGACUCACCUGCACGUUUUGCGAAGAGGCCCACAGUCCUUUGCGUGGCGCUCGGACUACAUUUCCCAACGGCCCCUGCACGCCCUGGGGGCUGUUCCAUGCGGUGUUGCGCCUGCGUAGCCGGCGGGCUGGCAGUGAGACUGACUGCGUCGGGGUUGAGACUGGGUGGAUGAGGCUCACCCCGGCGGGGAGAAGGGACGAGGAGGGGCGGACAGCGGAAGGUCCGGGAGUGUCCGCCAUAAAGUCGUUUGAGGUGACCGUUGCGUAAUUGUGAGUCUGUGAGAGAAGAUGUGAAGUAUGGCCUCGUCCCGGUCAUCUGGGCGUGCGGGUCCCGGGUUUUGAUCGCGCGUUUGUGUAGUUUUAACUUCUAGUCAUGGCGAAUGAUCGCAGGAGAGCACAGACUGGACCCUGCUACGAUCUCUCUUGGAGUGGAUCAGACUGAUGAUCACCAACAACCAACUCAUUCCCGGAUAAGGAAGAAGAGAGUGUCACCUACUUCAGUGUGGUUUCAACCCUACUUCUGCAUCUUAAAGACACUGUAUGGUUUCAGCAGUAGUGCCCCUGUUCAUUAGUCCCCCUGAUGUUUUCAUUCCUCAUCUCAUCUUUUUCUUAGCAGCAUUCAAUGAAUCCUUCAUUCUAGAAACACUCUAUAUCUUUGGUUUUCAUGAGACCAUUCUCACCUUGUUUUGUCCUGUGACUUUUUUGAAAAAAACAAAAACAAAAAACCCUUUUUUUCUUUUUAAAUUCUGGUAAAAAACACAAUGAAAAUUUGCUAUCUUAACCAUGUUGAAAUGUGCAGUUAGUAAAGUACAUUCACAUUGUGGUGCAAGCCAUCACUACCAUCCAUCACUAGAACCCUUUUCAUCUUGCAGAUCUGAAACUCUACCCAUUAAACGACUUCCCAUCUUCCCAUCCCCACAGCUCCUAGCAACCAACAUUCUACUUUCUCUAUCAGUUUGACUACUCUAGGUACCUCAUAUGAGUAGAAUCAUACAGCAUUUAUCCUUCUCUGCCUGGCUUAUUUCACUUGUAUAAUGUCCUCAAGGUUCAUUCAUGUUGUAGCAUGCAUCAGAACUUCCUCCCCUUUUAAAGGCUGGAUAAUAUUUCAUGGUAUGUUUAGAUCACAUUCUGUUUAUCCAUUCAUCCAUCAGUGAACACUUGUGCUCCUUCCAACUUUGGGCUGUUGGGUGUCCUGCCACUGUUGCUCCUAGUGCUCAAUCUCGUUUAUUCCCUCCUAAUCAAGUGUACAACGUUGGACACUGUGCAGGAUGAUGCCACUUCAUCUUGGAUGCUAAUCUGCCAUGUUGACUUCUGAUUAACCCCAGGCCCAGGAAUGCCUCAAGAUUUCUACUUUACUUACUGUUGCUUGUGUAAGCCAAGACAACCUUGAUGUUAUCAUAAACAUGUACUUACCUAAGUCCUGUCCUUUGGCAAAUUAUGGGCUAUGAGACACAGCAUUCUUGCCUUUCCCUGAGGGGUCAAUUUCAGCGAUCCUACACAUUCCUUCUGAAGCACUUAUGCUCUUUCUAUAUGGUAUGUAAGCUCUCGGUCUGGGGAGUAACAGUGCAGAGAUCUACCUGUCUUGUUGCCACAUGUUUCUAAACUUUCCAAUAAAUCACCUUCUACUGACAA